rnacentral:lncRNA from 1 species
UUUUUUGGGGUUUUGGGACAUUGAUGGUCGACACCAACUUUAUCAGAUUAAAAAUUUUUUGGGGGUUUUGGGACAUUGAUGAUCGAUACCAACUGUAUCAGAUUAAUUUUUUUUUGGUUUUGGGACACUGAUGGCCAACACCAACUUUAUCAGAUUAAUUUUUUUUUUGUUUUAGGACAUUGAUGGCCGACACCAACUUUAUCAGAUAUAUAUAGGUGUUUUGUCUUCCAUUUGAGUUUUUUUUUUUUUGCUUUCUGUUUGCU